UACGUAGGGGGCUAGCGUUGUCCGGAAUCAUUGGGCGUAAGCGCGUGUAGGCGGUCCGGUAAGUCCGCUGUGAAAAGUCGGGGGCUCAACCCUCGGAUGCCGGUGGAUACUGUCGGGCUUGAGUACGGAAGAGGCGAGUGGAAUUCCUGGUGUAGCGGUGAAAUGCGCAGAUAUCAGGAGGAACACCAAUUGCGAAGGCAG
rnacentral:rRNA from 1 species